rnacentral:lncRNA from 12 species
CCUGUGCACCGUCUCAUGUGCCUGUGGUCUGCCCGCCGGCCCGGCGGCCGUUGCUGCUGCCACAAAACUCAAGAGGUGGCCGUUUAACGAGGAGACUCAUCUGUGACUUCCAUGGAUGCGCCCAGAGCCCACUGAUAAUGUGAACGUAGCAUGUAGACCUGUUUCCUCCUAGUCACUGAACUGGAUGCACACACGUUCCCUAACCGGGUUACCUGAGGCAGAGCCCUGCUCCAAUUCAGAGGGCUCAUUUUUAAUACCGCACAACCAACACUGUUAGGGUCGCGAGUCAAACUAGCCUGCUGUAAGUACUGUACCAUCUCGGCUUGCAGGACAGGACGUUGAGAUCAUCUUGGCUUGAGAGAGAGAGAGAGAGACUCAAAACAUAAAUUGUUGUCCACUCUCCUUUGUAAGAAAUGCGGCCGCUCUGACGAUAGUACACAAAGCUCAAAGCUUACUGUUUUAUCAUUCCCAAAAUAAGACCUUGACAUUCAGUGUGUCCUCGUCCUGUCAUCUGAAAGCCAACGGGGGUUAAACUGUGCCCCGGUAGCUGUUCUUCCCAGGCACACAGAUGGCCGAUGCGGUUUAGGGAGGCGACUCGGGUGAGCAGAGCAGCACUGCAUGCGACACAAAGUGAACGACACGUGGACAGCCUGCGCUGGAUUGUGGGAGGCUCCUCCCGAGUGCCCGGACUACUUCAGGGAGAGGCAUCUGCAUAGACAUCAACAUCUCCAUGACCCAUGAGCUCCACACCAGCAGUCAAGGCUUUCUGGCUGAUACCAGUCUCAGAUUCCUCAACACGGAGUUUUCUAUAAGGUGGGCUGCCAGACUGGAACCAAGUCUCUGUGCCUCUCCAGGCUGGCGCUGUGAUGGAUGUGUACUUGCCACCCAAAGCCUCGUUCUCACCUGCCCAAACCACUAAUGGGCUGCAAACAUGGCCUGGAAAAGAGGAACCAGGUGUGAUGUGGAUUUGUGCUCACCUGUGUGAGUGGCUCGCAGGGAGGAGCCUCGCUGCCGUCUGGCCCAGCUCAGCCCAGCAGGACAGAGGCCCCGGCCUGAGCACAUGCAAGUCCAGGCUUUGGCCACCCAGAGAAGUAUCCCCCGGAGAGGAGAGCAUGCCCAGCAGCAGCAGAGAGAGCCCCGGUCAUUGUCUGAUGUGCAGUCGAGCCCUAGGGGACUCCUUCCAGGGUGCAGCCGACACGACUGAAAAUCCAGCGCCCUGAACCAAGAAAAGUUUCCUCUUCACGCAGCCGGGAGGCCCUGUGCUUCUAGCCCCACUCGGCAUCUCGGGGGUUCCCUGCUCAGGACACGGAGACCGUGAUCACUGGCCUGUGUUGCCCGUUGAAUCCCCCCAGCAGAUCAUGGCUAACAUCCCCCCUCUAUUCAGCAAAACUAUUUUCAUCAAAAUCUUGAAAUACAAUUAAAAAUCGAAUGGCUGGAAAAGCCAGGGAAAGUUUCAGAGGCAGUGAAAAUGUUCCCUUAUUGCACUUUCUGUGUAUAAUUUGCCAGUAAAAAGAAAUAAAAAUAAAAAAAUAAUAAUAAUGUCUAUGUAC